rnacentral:rRNA from 1 species
UGUAAUGGCAGGUCAGAAUACUGCCGUGAAUACGUUCCCGGGCCUUGUACACACCGCCCGUCACACCAUGAGAGUUGGGAAUACCCGAAGCCUGUGAGCUAACCGUAAGGGAGCAGCAGUCGAAGGUAGAAUCAAUGAUUGGGGCGAAGUCGUAACAAGGUAGC